UACGUAGGGAGCAAGCGUUGUCCGGAAUCACUGGGCGUAAAGGGUGCGUAGGCGGCCCAUUAAGUCAGAUGUGAAAUACCCGUGCUCAACAUGGGGGGUGCAUCUGAAACUGGUGGGCUUGAGUGCAGGAGAGGAAAGCGGAAUUCCUAGUGUAGCGGUGAAAUGCGUAGAUAUUAGGAGGAACACCAGUGGCGAAGGCGGCUUUCUGGACUGUAACUGACGCUGAGGCACGAAAGCGUGGGGAGCAAACAGG
rnacentral:rRNA from 1 species